GUGCAGAUGACUGUGUUGGAGACGAUGC
rnacentral:piRNA from 1 species